AAAUAAAACAACUGUUGCUGGUUUUAAGGCCAUAAUGGAUUGUUUGACUUUGCUUCUGGGGUGUAAUUUGUUAGGAUCUUUUAAACUGAAGUUAAUGCUAGUGUACCUUAUUUUUUGGAAACAAAAUCUGAUAAUGAAAGGGAGUGAGAAAACACAUCUUUCCAUUUUUUGGCAUUAUAAUAAAAAGUAUGGGUUACUCAGACUAUUUUUACUGAAUAGCACAUCCAGCAAUUUUGUCCAGAAGUUUCUAAGUUUUGCUCACCUAAUAACUUGCCUAAAAAAAUUUUAUUAGUCCUAGACAAUGCUUCCGGUCAUUCAUAAUAUUCAAGACAUACAGAAUGAUGAUUUAGAAGUUAAGACAAUUUAUCUGCCACCAAACACAAUGUUAGUUCUUCAAUCAAUGGAUCAAGUUGUGUUUUCAACUUUUAAUUGAUUAAGUACCAUUGAUAUUGAUAGAUAUCAAGGAUGUGG
rnacentral:lncRNA from 1 species